UUUGAAACCCCGAACUUUAGUGGGCGAGAGACUUGCUACAGUGUGUCCACUACCAAUUCUACUAGUGGGCGUGCUAGGACACCCAAGCAAGCAUGAAGAAUUGACCCAGUACUUGAGGAACCUUUUCAUUCAAAGUUUUGGAUUGGAAGGUCAGUCGGGAAAUAAUGAGAUUGUCAAUUCUGUUUGCUUUAUUUGGUUGGUAAAGUGGGAUUAAUUUUCAAAUCGUUGAGAUUGUGCUUCGACUUCAGCUAUUUGUGUAUUGAGUUUUAGCCUUUCCACUAUGCAGCAUCUUUGGAGAACGUCAUAGUAUGAUAUUUAACAUCACCUGGGAAUUUGUUAAAAGUUCUGACAUGAAUAUGAAAAUAGUGCAGCCCAUUUUUUGAAAGUCAUUGUUGUGUAUUGCCUGCUCUUGUAACUCUUGGUUCUGACCAAAACCUGAAUGUGAAAUAUGCCAACAUUGAUGCUUUUAAAGUGGUAGCUCAGCAUUUUAAAAGUGACAUGAUCGUUGAUAAUAUAUGGGUUCAAAUGGAUGCUUUUCUUGAAGAUGGAUCAGUUGAAGCUACCAUUGCUGUGGUUCGUGCACUGGCGUUUGCCGUACCACAUACAACAAAUAGGCUUCGAGAAUAUAUUAUUGAAACAUUUUUUUGGUGGUUUUAAUUUGUUUCCAUUUGGGUUUUUAUUUAACAAUUAGGAAUACACGAACAAAGCCCACUAGUGAAAUAUCUGUUUCUUUAGCUGUUCGUACAUCUCUUGUCCAAGUUUUGAUUGAUGUUUCUUUAA